ACUCGCCAUGUGACUAAUCGACGUAAAUAUAGUUUACACACAGGAAUUACAUCUGAUCUUCACACAGUCAACAAAAUCACUUGCAGUAAUAUCAGAGUAAUUAUGCCGAGAAAAGCGAGAUCACUUUCGGAGAGGAAGACCAUGUAAUCCUGUAUCAUUAUAUCUUUCGGAUCAAAAAUGGCGGGCUUUUCAAUCUUCGAAACUCUACACGUUGUGGAUUCGUUGUAGUAAACUGUCUAUUUGUUUUGGCUGCAUUGGAUAGCACCUCUGAACUCAGUAAUCCUUUGGAUACUUGGCGAAAGGAAGAUCAGGAUAAUGUAUCACCCGUUAAAACACUACAAAGAACGAAUAAAACAUAGCAUGGAAACGUACUGUUCAGAAAUGAUGAAUUUAUGGACAAACUACUGAACUCCUACAUUAUGAGCACUGUGGAACAGUUUGAUCUGAACUGCACUGCAGCCAGAGUGUUGUUAAAUGCCAUGCCUGGGCUGGAAAGUGCUGCAGUUUUUCAAGAUAUGAUAUUAGAUCAAGAUGAUAACUUCUUCUUGAGAGUCUG